AAAUAUCAAUUCCCAACUUGACUCUCACUGGGAUUAAACAUGACAAUAGGUCUGCUCUGAUUUCAUCAUCAUUUAAAAAAAUCAUCUAUUAUUUUUCACUUUAUGUUUCUGUGUGGGAGCAAACUGUUGAAAUCCAUACUUAAUGUAUACUAAGCUGAUCUUCUGUAUAUUAAGAUAAUCGAAAAUGAAUCAUGAUGUGAAUGGAAGGGGAGAGGGAGUGGGAAAGGGGAGGGUUGUGGGUGGGAGGGACGGUAUGGGGGGGAAGCCAUUGUAAUCCAUAAGUCGUACUUUGGAAAAUUAUAUGCAUUAAAUAAAAGUUUAAAAAAAAUAAAUAAAUAAAUAAAUAAAUAUUUAAAAAAAAUAGAGAAAGAUAAAUAUUCUUGGUAAGACAGUGAACUUUGUUGAUAUUUACAUAAUUGCAUAGCAAUUGGGAAACACACUGCAACUGUUUGUGAGAUGGACAGAGCAGUUGGAAGGCGGACUUUAAGUGUUGUACCCAAUCCAGCAAUGGGCACCCAGCUAGCCCAUGAUCAUUCUCAGGUUGUCAUUGUUGUGUAAACAGGGGUUGUGUUCCCUUGUUUGGGCUGCAGACUGGAGAGCUUAAACAACAGAAAUCAAGUUUCUUACAGUUCUGGAGGCAGAAACCCAAGGUCAAUGUGUUGUAUGGGUUGGUGUCCUCUGAGGCCUCUCUCCUGUGCUUGCAGAUGGCCAUCCCCUUGCCAAGUUCUUACAUGAUCUUUUUUUUUUUUCUUUGAGUUUUCAUUCUGGGUGUCUCUUUGUGUAUAUAAUUUAUCUGUUGUUUUUGGGAUAUCAGAGGGUUGAGGUGUGUUCAUAUGACCUUAUUUAAUCUUAUUUACUUCCUCAAAGUUCCUGUCUCCAAGUAUAGUCACUUUCUGGGGUUAGGAUUUUUUUGUUGUUGUUGUUGUUGACAGGCAGAGUUAGAGAGAGAGAGAGAGACAGAGAGAAAGGUCUUCCUUUGGUUGAUUUACCCCCCAAAUGACUGCUACGGCUGUCGCUGUGCCGAUCCGAAGCCAGGAGCCAGGUGCUUCUCCUGGUCUCCCAUGUGGUGCAGGGCCCAAGCACUUGGGCCAUUCUCCACUGCCUUCCUGGGCCACAGCAGAGAGCUGGACUGGAAGAGGAGCAACCAGGACAGAAUCCGGCACCCCAACCAGGACUAGAACCCCGGGGUGCCGGCACCACAGAUGGAGGGUUAGCCUAGUGAGCCGAGCUGCAGCGCCGGCCAGGGUUAGGAUUUUAACAUGGGAAUUUUGGGAGCAUACAGUUCAGUUCAUAUUAGAGGUAUAUCUUUGCCAUUGAAUACAUUGGAAGAGCUUAUUAAAAAAAUUAGUUGUCUUCAUAUUUUUAUUGUGAGAAUCAUUUUCACAUUAUUCAGUGCUGAUAAAUGAAAUAUAGUGCUUUUUUAUACAGUACAGUCAUAUCUAACUGAAAAUAACUGCUUUCAUUGAAACAAAAUUUUUAAUGCUUGAUUUAAAUUUGUUUUCUGUCUUUUGAUGACUUCCUAGGUUCAUUUCCUUUCCUCUGUUGACUGUUUUAUACAAUUCAAGGGAAGAAAGUUCUCUUUUUUUGACAGGCAGAGUUAGACAGUGAGAGAGAGAGAAAGGUCUUCCUUCCGUUGGUUCACCUCCCAAAUGCUGGUACAGCCAGCAUGCUGCGCUGAUCCAAAGCCAGGAGCCAAGUGCUUCCUCAUGGUCUCCCAUGCGGGUACAGGGCCCAAGCACUUGGGCCAUCCUCCACUGCACUCCCGGGCCACAACAGAGAGCUGGACUGGAAGAGGAGCAACCGGGACAGAAUCCAGCAUCCCAACUGGAACUAGAACCUGGGGUACCGGUGCCGCAGGCGGAGGGUUAGCCUAGUGAGCCGCGGCGCUGGCCAGGAAUAAAGUUCUAAUGAUAGAUAGCUUAUGAUAGUCUUUUCUCACAUUCACCCGUUUCUCUAAAACUGUGUUAUUGGUAAGGUUGGAGCCUAGUUAAAAACUGACUGCAUUAAUUAUAUAAUUAUCCCAUAAAAUACCCCAACAAUCUAAAUCCUGUGCCUCUUACCUGGAACAUCGUACCUGGGAAACUUUCAUUGAUUCCUACAACACUUAGACAUGUGUUUGGGAUGUUACCUGUUAACUUGUGUGUAGUGGUGGGGGUGUGUAUAAUGAGUUCAGAACUGUUGCUAAGAAUAAAAAGCAUAAAUGCACCAGUAGAACUAUAAAGGUAACUUUCAUAAAGCCUGAGUAGAUUUUCAACCCAAGAAGACCUUAUCCUGGUAGCAGAUGUCUUUUGAGCCUUGAGGUGGGGAAUCCUCCCUCUGCCUCAGAGUGCUGCCUUGUCAUGGUUGGUGUGUGUAGUAAGCCCUUAAGUUGCAACCUGAGUCCCUUACUUCCACUAAAGAAACAUGUAGCCUUUGCCUGCCUUGGGUAUCUUUCAGUAAAUUACAUCAUCUAGUUGGGGCCAGCAUGCUCUUAGCUAUUCAUUUCAUUCCCUACUUGUUCCUCUUGAUGCCCACCCAACAGAAUAAAUUACAGGACAUGUGAAUCCAAAUUAGUUUUUGCUGGCUACUGCCAUUUCUGGGAAAGAGAAGAGGAUAAAAUUACUUUUAGAAUUUCUUCUGAGAAUUUAUUGGUCUCUUAGGUUUGUAAAGACCAGGGGUAUCCUGUAUGGAACUAACUAAGUUAUGUUAACAUGCUUCUAUUUGGGUAAAGACUAUUGAAAAAUACAUCUGAUGGUUGGUUUAUUUUAUGUGAUAGAAAUUUAAUGCCUUUUGGAGCUAAAGCCACUAUUGUUAAUAUUGUUAACAUUAAAGGACCGUCAAACCAAGCUGAAUGAGAACAAUAUGGUACAACAAUAAGUUUGAAAAAUAAUGUAAUUAUAUUAUUAUAUUUUUGUUGAUUACUUGUUAAGCAGUAGAAAUUGUGGGGGUAGAUUAUGGGAUUUGUUUGAAGGGAUGUAACACAUUUCCCCAAAUGAAAACAUCUGUCCACAUUGAUGUUUUCCAUUAGUCAUCUUCAGAGAUGUUAAUUUAACUUAAAACAAUUCACACUGCUCUGUUGAUGAUUAAUUUUUAAAUGAUGUUUGCAUUAUUAGUUGAAGUUAGAGAAGCCAUGAGAAAUGGGAGCUAAAACAGAUGGCCACAAUGAUGCAUGUGGUACUUUGGAUGUUUACAUUAAGGCAGCCCCUGGUGUUUGCUUAGGGAAUGAAAGCAGAGUAGAAACUAAAAUUGGCACAAGUUAUUAACAUGCCUGACUUGGAUAGUCAACAUAAAUCCUGAGUAAGUCUCAUAGAAACUGCACUCUUAUCAUGUUUCAUUUGAUUGGCAUGACAUGCCGUCACCUAUUACUCUACAGGGCUGUGGAGUAAGCACUUAGAAUGUAGUCCUUUUUUAUUUAUAUGUAAGGAAAAGAUUUAAAGUAAAAUCUAUUAGAAGAGAUCAUGUUUUUGUCCAUUUGUCCAGAACAAAUCUACAUAUGUGAAUCUUACAUAUCAUAGAUAAUCCGGUUUUUAAUAGGCAAUAGGAUUUUCUCUGAGAAUUCAAGCAGAAACAUUUAAAUCCCUUUAAAAGUACUCAAACCAAAGGUAGUUUUCAUUUAUCAUCCCUUUAAUUCAUUUCCUCUCAAAUUUUAGUAUGUGUGUAUUUUGUUCUAUAAAUUCUAAUUCAGUUAAUGGUGUGGCCCAGUAAUCUAAAUUUUGAGAAGUUUCUAAAUGCUUUAAUUAGAUAAUAAUUAUUUUUUCACAUACAUGUACCUCAAAUUAUCCCUUAAAAACAAUCCUACAAACCUGAUACUCAUUUUUAUAUUCCUUUCUGUUUUGCUAGCAUUUUAGUUUUAAAGAUUGGAGAAGAUUUUUGGCUCAAGAUGGCUCAUUUGUAGGCAUAUUAUAUUCCUUUACCAUCUAAGACCCCUCAGAGAAAGGGAUCAAAAAAUAUAAACAAACCAUCACAAAGUUAAGGAGAGAUUAAUAUUAAUAGCAAUGUUCUGACAGACAGAGUCAUUUAUCAAGUAGUACUGGAAGAAGCAGGAUAGAGUGGCCCAGGUCCUGGGAGUGAGUUGAACUUUCCUGAUGAAUUCCAAAGUGACUCAAGACUCAGGGAUAGCAUGUAUGAUGAACAGCAGGCAUGAAAAGUGAAUUGUAAAAUAAGGGCAUUUGAAAUCUGAAGAUAGAAUGUCACAGUAGCCACAUGGUAUGUAGAGCAUCUACAUAGGCACAUGAUGGGAGAAUUUGUCCCUUCAGAAAUAAGUAGUUAUCUGGCUUGAAUAUGGACAGCUGGUAUUGGAAUUGGUACCCAGAAGAAAGAUCAUGCAUAUUGGGAUAGAAGAGUUUUCAAGUAUUGAAUCAGCUCAGCACCAAAAAAUUGCCAUCACUACCCAUGCUACAUUCCCAUGUGAUUAGACUUUUAUGGGCAUGUUCCUCAAUGGGAAAAGAUCACUGAGGUUCAACAGACAAUUGAAGAAGAUUGAAACACAAGAAAGAAAAACUAGGAUACACAUAUUUAAAAUGUCCAUAAAUGUCCUUAUGGGCACAAAUCAGACAGAUGGUAAUUAAAUUAUAAGGGGAUUUUUUUUUUUUACUUGUUCAGAUUCUAUGGAGAUUUUAUGAACUCCUAAACUGCACCCACCCACUUUUACACUCUGCUCUUUAAAACAAGAAUAUGGUGUUAUGUAAAAUCUACACUUGGAGUACUCAGAAAGCUGAAAGAAGAGUAAUAAAAAUUCCAAAGGUAGGACCAGGAACGUUGAGGAUAAUUCCUAGAAAGCUGAUAAGGAAAAUACUAAUGAGUAACUUACUCCAGGUUGCAGCAUGAGGCCUUAUUGACUAAGUCUCUGAAAUGUCUUUAAUUUUUUUACAUACUGGCAAUUACCAGUUUGUAAACAGUUACACAUUGGUGAAUUAUACUUAAUUCAUUAUCCAGUAUGAAUUGAACACCUACUGUAUGUCAUCAUGACUCAUAAAUUCAAGGAAUACCAGGGUGAUCAAAACUUAAAAAAAUCCUGGUAACCAUGGAGGUUAUAUUUUAGUUGGGAAAUAAAGAAAACAAACAAAUAACAAGAAUAUAUAAUGUGACAGAUAGUCAUAGGAUCUGUGGAGACCAAAUAGGAAAAGGAGAUAAGAUUGUGUUGGGGUGGGGUUAUACCUUUCAAAAAGAUGAUCAAGAAAGGAAAAGUACUACUAUACAAGAGUGUAUACCCUAAGGCAGGUACUCUGCUCUAGGAACCAGGCAAGGAUUCCAGUGUGAUCACAGAGAGUGAUUUAAAGGCAAAUUAGAUAAGAGAUGAAGGGUUUGGGACACAUUCCUGGCUGGCCAUGAGUAGCCUCCACUUUUGAGCUGUGAAGCCAUUGCAUGGCUUUACUUAGAGGAAUGACAUAAUCUUGUAAUGCUGUAAUAAGAAUGGUUUGUAGGGGCAAUAAGAAUUGGAGGCAAGGAUAGUAGAGAAAGGCUAUUGCAGUAGAUCAUGCAAGGAACAAUGCCAUUUGGAGCAGGAUGAUAGCACUGAAAGUACUUAGGUGUGUCUUUUUUCCGGUUGUAUUUUAAGGAUAAAAUUAAUGGAACCUUUCUUAUGGUUGAAAUCAGGAAUGAGGAAGAGAUGAAUUCAAGUGUUUUGCCAGAUUAUCUGUAACGAGGGAAGAGCCCUUCCAUUACAUGGAGAAGACUGUUUGUGGAGGACUCUCAGGAAGCUGGAGUCUGGAGUUUGUGUUUCAGAUUUGUCACGUUGGAGAUGCCAUGUGGAAAUCCAGCUGGAGGUGGGGACUGCAGAUGGAUAGCCAUGUUGGAGUUCAGUUGGGAAGUCUGGCUUGGAAAUACUAAUUUGUGAGUCAUGUUAGUAUCAUGGUGAUUAAAAUCAUGUGACUGGAUCAGAUAGACUUCUUAGGUUUGGAUCCUGCAGCAUUCCAAUGUAAAAGUUGAAUGGUAAGGAAGAAUUAGCCAGCAAAGAGAUGGAACAGGGACAGCUAAGAGACCAAAGUGUAUAUGGUAUUCCACAUGCCAAGAAAAGAAAGUAUUAUGAGGAGGAAGAGGUAAUCAGCCAUUCCAAAUGCUUUUACAUUAAAAAAAAUUUUUCAGAUGUUUCAUCUACAAAUGAGAAGUGCUAAUUUUCUUAUUUUACAAAGCUUUGAGAACAUGUAAAAUGGAACUACUCCACUGCGCAAGUAGUUUGCAUUAUACCAAAACAUAGCCACUUCAAAUAUGGCUUUGAAGUAAGCAGAGGAGAAAUAAAUUAUUCAGUUAACCACGAAAUUGAAAAGCAAGGGUCACAGUACUUGAUGAUCCACUGGCAGUGUUUCCCCCACAACCAACAAUAAAUCAUAUGGGAAAUUGAGUAACUCUUUUUGUUAUUAGCCUAUGUCCUAAUAGUAUCUCUGAAACCUGAACUCAUUGUUGUUUUGGGUAAUUCCUCUUGCAUGGAGAAUGGAGCCAAAGAGGCUGCUACACUGGUGAUAUUUGGAAACAUGCUUCUGAAUUUUCACACUCACAAAAAAUUGAAUGAGGUGACAGAUGUGUUAUCCACAAAAUCUCUUUAGCUUGGAUGAAUUGGCAGAAAUGCAGGAAAUAUAUCUCUAAAUAUUCUAUUUGCGUACCUAGAGUGCUGUUAGUACACUUAUUUGUAACUCUAUCAAUGUGUGGUAAGUUAACUUGUUGAGGGAUUAUUUGUUAGUGUUUUCUUGGUUUCCUCACAUGUCAAGCAGAUGAAGUUAAGCCUCUCGUAAUUCUUUUUUUUUUUUUUUUUUUGGACAGGCAGAGUUAGAGAGAGAGACAGAGAGAAAGGUCUUCCUUUUUCCGUUGGUUCACCCCACAAGUGGCUGCUACAACCGGCGCGUUGCGGCCAGAGUGCUGUGUCGAUCUGAAGCCAGGAGCCAAGUGCUUCCUCAUGGUUUCCCAUGUAGGUGCAGGGCCCAAGCACCUGGGCCAUCCUCCACUGCACUCCCGGGCCACAGCAGAGAGCUGGCCUGGAAGAGGUGCAACCGGGACAGAAUCCAGCACUCCAACCGGGACUAGAACCCGGGGUGCUGACACCGCAGGUGGAGGAUUAGCCUAGUGAGCUGUGGCACUGGCCCUGUGAUUCUUUGCUUCUCCUAUUUUCCUUAGAUUUCUUCUUGGAAUCCUGAAAGUAAAGGAGUUCAGUGUUUGAAAGUCAGGAGUGAUACAGAGCAGAUUUCCUCUCAAUUCAGUAGAAUGGAGGUUGUCCGAUCUUAUGAGUCACAAGGAAUCUGUGCCCAUGUAGAGCAAUAUCCUGCAAUCCUGCAUGGUGGGCUUAGAGAAACUAGGCCCUAAAAAUGGAGAUUCUGUGCCUCAGGUACCACACAAGGGCAGCUUUCAGCUUCCAGCCCCUACAUGGCUAGGGACAACAAAUGCUGUUCUGUGAACUUCAGGAGGCAUUGGUACACCUUUUUGUGCGAAAUUUCUGCUCGGUACAAUCUCUCCCUCAUUUUUACCCUUGAUGUCUAAGAUGUGCUCAGAAAUCCAAGGUUUUGUAGCCAUUGUUUCUCUUCUGAGCCAGUGCUAUUUUGCUGUUUCUUUCCUGCCCUAUGUAUCAUUUUCAGAUGCUCUCCAGGCCUUCUUUGAGCACAUUCUACUGUAUCCUUCAUUUUCUAUAGAAUGCUCCAUGCAACCCCUUUGCCCUAACUGAAACUAGGCCCCUUCACAGCUGAGGACACAAUGUUUCUGGCAACUAUCUACAAUAUACUAUUUAUUUGUCCCAAGCUUUAUAGGGAUUUUAGUGCCAUGUUGGUUUUCUCAGCCAUUAUCCUUGCAUUUUCUAGAAAAAACACUUAUUAUACUUUGACACUUUUUUAAAAAAGAUUUAUUUAUUUAUUCAAAAGUUACAGAGCGACAGAGGAAGAGAGAGAGAGAGAGAGAGAGAGAGAGAGAGGUCUUCCAUCUGCUGGUUCAUUCUCCAGAUGGUUGCAACAGGGCCUUCUUCUGGGUCUCCCAAGUAGGUACAGGGGCCCAAGGACUUAGGCCAUUUUCCACUGCUUUCGCGGGCUAUAGCAGAGAGCUGGAUAGGAAGUGAAGCAGCCAGGACUCGAACUGGCACCCAUAUGGGAUGCCAGCACUGCAGGCAGCAACUACCCAUUACGCCACAAUGCCAGCCCCUACUUUGAUACUUAUUGCUAACAUCCAUUUCUACCUUUCUAUGGCACAUUAAUUUAUCUCUUGCAUUUAUCAAGACCUUUGGCAUAUAGGUCACAAUUUUGUCAAUCUAAGGCAAAUGUCAAUCAUUUGCCAUGACUUCCUCUGACUCCCAGAGCUCUGAAAGUUCACAGUUCUUAGACCUUUAAUACUUCAGUAACUUGCUUAUGGCCAUUUGUUGGAUCCUCUCAUUCCUAGGAUUCCUAUCUCGUUGGACUCCAGAAUCCUCCUACCCUAACUUAUGGUCACAAUUUUCCAUAUUUUUAGCUUUCUUACCCCUCCUCUCCAACCUUAGUCUCCAGUUCUAUACUGCUUUUAUUUCUUUCUUUGUUUUAAUAAAUAUGCAUUAAUUUCAUUUUCCACAGACUUUUAAAAAAUAUUUAUUUGAAAGGCAGAGUUAGAGAGGGGAAAAGACAGAGACAUCCUCAUCUGCUGGUUCACUUUGCAAAAGGCUGCAACAAAUUGUUUUGAGCCAGGCUAAAGCCAUCCAGAUCUCCCACAUGGGUGGGAGAGGUCCAUGCCAUUGGGCCAUCAUCUGCUGUUUUCCCAGGUGCCUUAGCAGAGAGCUGAAUAGGAAGUGAGAGAGUCAGGACUCAAACCCAGACUCUUACAGGAUGUUGGUGUCACAGGUUGCAGCUUAACCUGCUGUGCCAAAAUGCUGCCCUUCCCCCCUUAACUACUUUUGUGCUGUAUCACUCCUUACCUUUCCAGGUGCACCUCUUGCUCGGUUACUACUUAUACCUUCAUUUAUUCAUCUCAACCUUUUAAUCCUAUCUCCCUCCGCAGCUCUUUCCCCCACACUUCCUUUCCAUCAUUUGUCCCAUAUUUUGUAGAGAUGUUAGUGCCCUGUUGGUUUUCUGAGCCAUUACCCUUGCAUUUUCCAGGAAAAAUACUUACUAUAUUUUGAUACUUUUUUUUAAAAGAUUUAUUUAUUCGAGAGAGAGUUAGAGAGAGAAGGAGAAAGAGAGGUCUUCCAUCUGCUGGUUCAUUCCCUAGAUGGCUGCAACAGGUCUCAAAUGUGGGGGCAGGAGCCCAAGGACUCAGGCCAUUUUCCACUGCUUUCACAGGCCAUGGCAGAGAACUGGAUAGGAAGUGGAGCAGCCAGGACUCCAUUAAUAAAAUGGAUUUAUUAAUCCAUUUGUUCACUAAUACAUUUUGUUUAGUCUAACCUCUUUUAAUUUGAAAGCCACACACACACAACCACACACAUGGAGAGACAGGGAGAAUUCCCAUCUCUGGUUCACUCCUCAGAUGGCUCCAACAGUUCGGGAUGGGUGAGGCAGAAGCUAGGAAGUUCAGCCAGGUCUCCCACAAGAGUGACAGUGACCAAAUUACUUGAGCAGUCACCAUCGCCUCUCAGGGCUCACAUUAGCAGAUAGCUGGACUCGGGACUCAGAGCCAGGACUGAAACCCAGGUACUGUGAUAUGCAAGGCAGGCAUCUUAAACACUAGACCAAAUGCCUGCCUCUAACCUAACUUUUGAAAUCUGCAUGUUAGGAUCUGGCUGGAUAAUUUUCUUCUUUAUUCCUGGCACAUAGUUAGCCAUGCUGUUAGGAUUUUGCAUGUGCCUGAGCUCAGGACAUAUUAACAAUCUACUUAUUCUAAUCUUUAUUAUGGACCUUCUCCUUUACAUCCUGUGUCACAGAGUAAGAAAAGACAUUGAAUUAUGAAGUUCUUCAAACAGCUGCCCUUUCCCCUCCAUAAUAUUCAUCAUGACGACUUUACCCUUGCUCUGUUAAACAAUUGAUUCUCUUCCUUCUUGGGGUGAAGAACUCUUCUUCGAUCCUAAUAUUACUUACCUCCUUGAGUCUUUGAGUCUGAGAACCUCAACAGGGCAGUGACUGUAUUAAAAUAAUCCAUCCUUGGGUUCCCAAGGUAGCAUAGUACAUAACACAUACCAGUUCUUCAAAACAAGUUUCUUGAGCAGCAGGCAUUUGGCAUCUAUGCAGGCAUCUAUGUUGAAGUGCCUGGAUUUAAUACCUGACUCCAACUUUCAGCUAAUGCAGACCCUGGGAGGUAACAAUGAUGGUUUAACUAAAUGGGUCUCCACCACCCAUGUGGGGGACCUGGAUUGACUUCCUGUCUCCUGGUUUCAACCCAGUACAACCCUGGGCAUUUGGUGAGUAAUCUAGUGAAUGGAGGGAGUUCUCUUUCUCUCCUGCUCUAAUAAUUCAUUAGGAAAGCAAACAGACAGAUACCAAGUUCUUUGAGAAAAUAGAAGUAUUUCCUUCCUUGAAUUUCAAUAUCUUCUUUACUGAUGUUUUCUCUCAGUAUAUAAAGUCAAACAGUCUUCACUCAGUUAAACAAGUGAAGUUAAUCUUCCUCAGCCUCUAAACUCCUCUAGCUCCUGUUCUCCUGAUCUCUUCAUGAGCGAUCUGAGAGUGCAGUUGACAUGCACUUUAUUCCUCAGCACACUAUAGCUAAUCCUGUGGCCCCAUUGUCACACUGAGUUAUUCUUGGUAAGACCAGCGAAGAUUGUGUAGUUCUUAAAAAGCCAAAUCAACACUGGAGGGGCCUUUCUGUGUUGAAGGUCACACUGUUUUCCUUUCCCAUGCCAAUCCCCUUGUUUCUCUGACAUAGUUUUGGUUUAAUUCUUACCUCUCUCUCUCUCUCCCUGUCUCACCUCCAUCAAUUUAUCUAUUAAUUGUUGGCGGUUUUCAUCUGCUCUCUUAUCCUCUUCAUAGACUCUCAGCAAUUGUAUCCGACCCCUGCCUUCUUAAUUUACAACGUCCCCAAACUCUGCCCAGUUUCAGAUCCGUUCACCUAGCCAUUAAUUAGAUCUCUUACUUGAUGAUCCAGAGAUGUUUCACACUGAACCUUUCCUGUGUGCAGCCUAGAACCCAGUAAAACUUCCUCCUCUUCCUUAAUUUUCCUCCCAGCAAAUGUCCAAGUCCUAAAGAACACCACAAAUGGCAAGUUUUAGGAGAUUAAAAAAAAAAAAACUGUUUCAGUCCUAGAUUAUUGAAGAAUGAAGUAGGCAGGGAGGGAGAAGUUGGCCCUCAGAACAAGAGGGCAAGGCUAAUUGAAUACCUUAGUAAAACCAAAAGAAAAAUAGGAACUCCAGGGCCAGUGCUGUGGCACAGCAGGUUAAGCUGCUUCUGCAGCACUGGUUCAAGACCUGGAUGUUCUGCUUGCUUGCUUUCUUUUUUUUUUUUUUUUUUUGACAGGCAGAGUUAGACAGUGAGAGAGAGAGAGAGAAAGAGAAAGGUUUUCCUUUUCCAUUGGUUCACCCCCCAAAUGGCCGCUACGGCCAGCGCACCGUGCCGAUCCGAAGCCAGGAGCCAGGUGCUUCCUCAUGGUCCCCCAUGCGGGUGCAGCACCCAAGGACCUGGGCCAUCCUCCACUGCACUCCCGGGCCACAGCAGAGAGCUGGACUGGAAGAGCAGCAACCGGGACAGAACUGGAGCCCCAACCGGGACUAGAACCCAGGGUGCUGGCCCCGCAGGUGGAGGGUUAGCCAAGUGAGCCAUGGAUGUUCUGCUUUCAAACCAGCUCCCUGAUAAUGUGCCUGGGAAAGCCGCGGAGGAUGGCCCAAGUCCUUGGGCCCCUGCGCUGACGUGGGAGACCAGGAAGAAGCUCCUGGCUUUGGCCUGACCCAGCUCCAGCUAUUGUGGCCAUUUGGGGAGUGAACCAGCAGAUGGAAGAUCUUCUCUGUCUCCUUCUCUGUAACUCUGCCUUUCAAAUAAAUAAAUAAAACUUUAAAAAAAAAAGGAACUCUGAAAACCACUUAGAGCCAAUGACUAUUUUAAAAACAGGACCAUGGGAAUGAGUCAGGAAAGAAUGCUGCAAAAGUAUUAAAAGAAAGAGCAUAAGUUAUCAAAGUAACCUCUCUGAAUAAUUUUAUGAACAAAAUAAAAUGGUUUUAAAGUGACCAAAUAUGAAUACUUAGUUGAGGUAAUCCUAAAUCCUUCAGAUAUUUUGUGUAUUUCUCUACUUGGGCUGCCAUAACAUAAUAUCAUAGUUUAGGGGACUCCAACAGCAGAAAUUUAUUUUCUAUGGUUCUGGUGACUGGAAAUCCAAAAUCUGCUCAGAGGUCAUUUCUGGUGAGAUCUGCCUUGGUUUGUGGAUGGCUUUCUUUUGACUAUAUACAUGGUCCCUUCUUUUUCUAAUAAUGACACCAGUACUAUAAGAUCAGAACCCUUCCUUUGUGACCUCAUUUAACCUGAACUUUUCCCUUCAUGACUGGGUCUCCAAAUACAGCCACACUGGGGGUUAGAGCAUCAACAUAUGGGUUUCUUAGGGGGACACAGUUCAGUCCACAACAUAUUAAGCAGAGUAGAGGUUCAUUGAAAUGAUGUUUUGCUAAAGAGGUAAUAAUAUUACUCCAUGCAUAGCCUCCCGUGCGCAAACAUCAGUGCCCUGCCAAUUGGACCUGGUCUUCAGUACCCACAAAUGUCUGCAACAUUUCAUUUUCAAAGUUAAAACUUACUUUAAAUUAGAGAUGCAUAAAAGUAUGUAUAUUCAGCCAAAAUCAUGUUAUUUUUGGCUGUCUCUAACUAAACAACAAGAAAACUAAUUUCGACUAUAUUUUGUAAAAGAGAAAAAAAAACUUGCAACUCCAAUCAAGAACUUCUAUGCCAAGUCUAAUACUGGAAGAAAUAUUAAGACCAAAUUAUAACCCCCUAAACUGUGGAAGAUAGCUAGAUCCUUAACAUCACUGUACCACCAAUGGCUGUAAGAUUUAUUUACAUUAUUAGUACUGAAGCACAAGGAAUCAGAAUGCAGGUACUUACGUUAAGGAACCUGAAGCUGAAGCUCUGCUGUGUUUUCCAGCUCUUAUGAGCAAUCAUUAAUGGAUGGUUUGUACUUGGAGGUGAUAAAAAGUGACAUCCAUUGGCUAUUCACAACAUGACAGUGCUCUCACAGCCGUAGUGUGUGAUACAGAACAAUGAGUGUCUUUCAAUUUUCCAACAUUUAAAACUUUGCUCCUAACUUUUCAGAGCUUCACGGAUGGGGUAUACCAUCCAGGAUUCCAACUUCAAAGAUUUGAAAAAUAAACUGCAGACCAGCAAACUUUUCGUUUUUGUUUUGCUUCUGUUAUUUUUCUAACCUUUCCUUUAAAACACACUCUUUCUCACAGUUGCCAUUUGCAGAUAAAGUUAGUAGUAUUAAAAUAAUUCAUUUUUAAUAAAUUCUAAAUGUGUUAGCCUUUCUGUUAGCUGGACCAAAUGACAUACAAACUGUAAAAGCCAGAAAUUUUAUAGCUGCUUCCACCUUGUCAUAAUAUUUUGACAUCUAGUGAACUUCAUACUAAGAAGGUACCUGGAAUAUUAUUAAUAGAUAAACAAAGAUUCUGUGCACUGCAGAGAAUGUUUGUAUCUCUUUUGCCUCUCCAGCUAUUUAUUAUUCUACCCUGACAAAAAUAAAACAGAUAGGUAUUUUUCUCCUUCUAUGAUGAGCACAAUCUUUAUUAAUAAUAAUAAUGAUAAUAAUAAAACAUUAAGUUGAAAUUGCAGUUAAAAUUCUUUUCCCAUGUCUAAGUUGUUUUCAAGUAUUGAUGAAAUUUUCUUUACAAUUAGUAGAAUUGUAAUUUUGGAGUGUAUGUGUAAUACAAGUGUUGCAUGUGGAAACAAAAUGAUUCUAAUUGUCUUGUUAAAUUAUUCCUCUUUUUACUGAAUGUCUUUUACCUUGUUUUACAGCAGACGAAAGUUAAGAAAAAGUAGGAAUUUCCAUUUCCAUCAUGUAUGUGAUACCCUGUUUUAGACAAUGCAAAUAAAAAUUCUAAAAAAAACCAUAGUAAAAGAGAAAAAAAAUCUAACCAGAGAUAUAGACUAACCUGGCAGGAGAGCAGGGCGAUGGAGGUAGGGCUCCUCUUAUCGAGGGGUCCUGGUUCCCUGAGAGAAAGGAUGUGAUGAGUGCUUGUACAUCAGACCAGAGGACUGCAGAGGCAAAGACCUAAAAUGCCCUACAGAUCCUGGGGCGACAGACAGUUAUGUAUGCCGAGAGGAGUGACAGAACCAAUUGGUCUAACUUCUGUGUUCUUCACUGGUCCGCAUUCUAAAAACUGCUGCUCUAUUAUGAGAAAAUUAAAAUAGAUCAUCACCCUCCACCCCCUGCCAGUGCCCACCACCCAAACCUCGCCAUACUUAGGGAGGGUUAAAAGACAAGAUCAAAAGGUGAAAUAGAAUAAACUGAACACACACACAUACACAGUACAGGGAGCCACAGUCUUCCAACGGAUUCUGGAGCUUUCUCAGUGCUUUAACCCUCUUCAAGCUGUUGUUGCCUUGAACCCACAUGAGCAGGCCUUGUGAAGCAAGCAGUCCCAAAGAAAACACAAAAGGAACAGCUCAGGAAUAAACACUUCAUAUGAUUAGCGUUCACAAGCCUGGGGAGUGCAGCAGGGCGACUCCGGGCUGUAUGCACACACAGGCACAUGCACCUCUUUCACUCAGCAGACAUCACAUCUGGCAGCAAGCAGAUCCUCUUGGAGGUAAAGGGGAGGAAAGCAGAAAUGUGCAGGGUUUGAAACUCCUGAGUGGAAUUUAUUUAGGUUAAAUAAAGAUACCUGAAAAUAAUUCAGGAUCCUUUAAAAAAGGAAUUAUUUCUUCAUCAUUGGAAAUGAGUUAAUAAUCAAGGGAAAAAAUAGUUUCUAUGUAACAUCACUUCAGAUCUGAAUGGCCUCUACUUAAAUGCCAAGGAAAGGGGGUGAUGUGCAUUAAGUACACAUUAGAGGCUGUUCUAUCAAUCAGAUCCCUCUCCCUCAUCCCCAGCCAGGUUUGUAUAUGCUGAUGGUGAUUGGAGCAGGAUUAACUAAAACUGUUCUGAGCCAAAAUAUUGAUGGUACCACUCUCUUAACUGCCUCCUAAACUUCAGACAUUGCUCUCAUUUUUCUCUUUUUCAUUCAUCUUAAUUUUGCUCUAGAGUUCUUUUCCAGACUAAUCUACCCUCCCUCUUUUCAGCUUUUCCCACCCUAACUUUCUUGUAGACUUACCUGCUGCCUGAAUUUUGUCCCAUGAAAGCAUUCUCCAAGUCUUUGCCUUUUCUCUGCCUAGAAAACUUCUAAGGCUACAGUUUCACUUGGGUCCUCCUUAUUCAACACGUAGAAGAAUGUUUUCAUGUGUCCUCCAGCUCUGGAGUUAGUUAUUGACUAACAUAGAUGUUCACGAUACAUGAUAUGGUACAGAUAUGGGGGAGAGUCAGCUUACAGAAGAAAAAAUUUGAUAUAUAACACAAAUAUAGUGUUAUCAUUUUGUUUAAGCCCUUUGCUGUAAUAUGGAUUUUUUUUUCAUUUAUAAAAUAAGACUGAAGAAAGGAAAUAUGCCAAAAAGUGCAGUGUUCUUUUAGAAAAGGAAUGUAGUGAGAACCAAGGUGAGCUUAGGUUGGUUGCUUUGUUAACCUUAGCAAACUCAUUGGAAAAUGUGGUUUAGGAAGGGAUACUGGUUCUUUGUAUCACUUGACUCCUCUUUCCCUUAUUCCCUAUGUGGGGAUUACAUUGUCAAAUAAAUUGGGAUGAUGGGGGGAGGAAGAGCAGUCAGCAGAAGUACUAUACUAAGUGUGUAUAUAUUUAGAAGUGUUACAAUUCUAGGUCAGUGAGUCUCAAUAUGCGAGCACUGAGCAGCAGCAGCAGCACCUGGAAACUUGUUAGAGAUGCAGAUACUGGGUUACACCUCAGAUCUGCUGAAUCAGAAACUGAUGGAGGGGCCUUCAAUCUGUGUUUUCACUGCCCUCCAAGUGACUUUGAUACCUGCUCACAUUUGAGAACCACCAUUCUUGGCUGUGGUCAUAAAGCUGAGUGCCAAAUCUAAAAGAGAAGAUAGGAUUUAAAAUAAUCAGAUGUCCAUGAAUAUUUAGUAUUUAACUCUUUGUGUGACCUUAGGAUAGCCAUUAAGUUUUCUUAUUUGUACAAAAGCUUUCUCAUCUGUAAAAUAGGGAUAAUAAGAGCAUCUAAUUCCAAACCUAUAAAAGUAUUAUACGAUGAUUUAACAAUAUGUAUUUUAUAUUAUAACAAUAUGUAGAAUAAUGGUAGAUUGGGAUGUUAGGCGAGAACAUAACUUAUUCAUAUAUUCAUAUAUUGUCUAUAGGUAAGAAAUUUCCUUUAAAAGAUUAAUACCAGGAAAAAGGUUUUAAGAGCUCAAGAAAUAGGUGCCUUUGUUCAUUUCUUCUUUUGAGAAUUACAUGGUAUUCGUUUAUGUAGACAUCAUUUCAAGUGGAAAUGUUUUACUUUCAAACAUCAUAUGAUAUAUGAUACGUACUAUUGUGUGUACUAUUACUGAAUCACUUGAUACCACUGAAUGGCAUAUACUUGUUUUUACUUUUACAAACUUCAAUUGGGGAUAUAACAGUCACUUCAAUUUUAUGAGAUUAUUGGCUUGACUUAAAACUUGUCAUUUAUUUUUUGAAACAAGACUUAUAGCAUGGCAUGCUAUUAAUGGAAUCCUAGAAUACAUUUUUCCAAUUCUUACCCAGAUACCACCUACCAUCCAGCAGAUUAUUGCCUCAAGAGAAAUGUUCAAACUUGGAAAAAAAAGCGUUUCAUGAAGCAGAGGAACAUGUUGGGAGACAAGAGUAAGAAGAAUAAUGUUCCUGAGCACUAAUGUUUGAGCACAUAUUUUGUCUGAUAAGUAUUAUUUUGUAUAUAUUUUCACAUUGAAAUAUGGAUGUUUUUAAAGAGCUGAGAAGUGAGAAAAAUUGCAUAAAAAUAAUAUUCCUUACUUUAAAAUCCAAAUCAAGUGAUUAGAAUCUAACUUUUCGGCCUGAAAAAUUCCUGAAUGGGGAAAUACAUAAAGGGUAUUUUAAGAUAUUAAAUAACUGUCAUGUUCAUGUAUGAAAAAAUUAAGAUGACUUUAGAUUUCUUCUUUGGCAUUGCAGGGUGGAAUAAGGAAUACCAAUUCAAAUCUGGCUUUAAAACAACUUCUCACAACUCACCAUCUACUUAUCAUGGCUUUAUAUAAUAGUAUAUAAGAGGUGGAUCAUGUUAGAAAUAGCUUGCUGUACAUAAAGAAGUCAAACUGAGUUGUGUAAGUCAAUGCAAUUUGUGAUGUCGUUACUUAGUAUUUGCUAUGAUAAAAUGGAAAAUAUAAAGAAUAUUCAUUCAGCAAUAUUACUUGUUGAUGGUACUAGUCAACGUUCUAUGGAUGCAGGGAUGACAAGGAUAGACAUGGUGCCUGGGUUUCAUGUCACUGACAUUCUAGCCAGGGCGACAGAUGAUCAACUGUGAAUCUAAAAUGAAGUCUCAAGUGGUAUCUGGUACCUUGAAGACAGUGAGACUGAAUAAAGUAACUGGGCAAUAGGAGGUGCUAUAGGUUAUUUGGUAGAGUGUGCUCAGGAAAAUUCUGAGCAGAAGAUUGAUGGCUGAGAAAGAGUGAGCAUCGCUGAGCUGGGAGAGUCCAGGAGGAGGAGACAAGAACCAUGCAGUGAAAGGGAGAGUAGUGAGGAAGCCUGGGUGGGUAGGGCAGAGGGAGGGGUGUGGAAACUGAACAGGUGUGAAGGUUCCUGAGUACAAAUCAAGGCUUAAGGAAUCAUAAAAAGAUGCUGGGAAACAUUGAUUGCAGAGUGCUUGACACCUGGUAGUAGGUUUGAGCAGAUUUGCAUUUGAAAAGAUCACUUUUGGUUGCUAAUGUGGAGUACAGAUUAUGGGGGGCAGGGAGUUGAAGCAGGCAAGAAGUUGAGGGGAACUGCAGUGGCACAGGCCAAAAAUGCUAACAGCUUGAUUCAGGGAGGUGGUGGAGUAGUGAUGGGAUGGGGUUAGGAAUGAAUUUUUGGAAGUAGAGACUAAGACAUCCUGACGGAUUUGUUAUGCAGAGUAAUAGAGAGAGAUCAGCUGAGACAUCCACGCUAUUUUUGGCCUGACCACUAACUUGAGGUGCCAUUAACUGAGACAGGGAGGGGAGGAUAAUUGAGAGGCAGAUGGGGUACUCUGGGGGCUUGGAAAAAGGAGAGUAAAAAUGCUUUUGAGCAUGUCAAAAUUGAGACAUCUCUGUUAUCUAAGUGAAUGUUUGGUCAGCUGUUGGUAUAUGAAUUUGGAACUCAAAGUUGGAGCUAAAUGUACAACAUUUAGAAAUAGAUAACCACCGCUGAAGAGCAUUUGGUGUUUAAAGCCAUUAGAUUGAGACAGCAAAAGGCAGAUAUCCAAGUAAAGAGAGUCAAGGACAGAGCCCUAGAACAUUCCAGAAUUUAGAUAUUAGGAGAGGAGGGAGAUGUAACAAAGGGACUGAGAAAGAGAAUCCCCGAGGCAGCAGUGAAAGCCCAGAGUGUAAUGCCCAGAGGCCAGUGAAGAAAGAUGUCCUACACCAACACCUCCUAGUGAAGCUAGUAUUCUAUUCUCUAAAUGGGAUUGCUUACAUGAAAUAAGAUCUAUGUGGUGCUCCAACAUGCUGUCCCUUCUCCAAUCUCUUCAGCAUCAUUUGCAGGAAUGAAGGAGUUCUUGAAUUCUUCAAGCUCUUGGGAAGAUUUCCCAACUCCCCGUCCUUCUAUCUUUCCCAGGCUAAGCACUCACUGUUGCACCUCUACCAUCUCCUUUAAUAGUGUUAGAAGACUUUUCCACUUUGAAUUUGGUUUUCAAUGCCCCCGGGGACCUGCAAAGUAACUGUUAAGAGACUGGUUACCAGGAGAAAAGACAGGUUUAUUUAUGCAUGCACAGGUUAGACUAGAGAACACUCAGUGAUUAAGUAACUCAAUAGCCAGAGAUGAAAGGUUUAUUUACCAACUUUAAGAGGGGCGGGGGAAGGGAGGAGGUUUAGGGCUUCAGUGGGAAGAGAUCACUGUUCUGUUGGACAUUUUUAUGCUAAUGGAAACAGGCAGUCUAUCUCCAUCACAGCUAAAUUGUCAGGAAGCCCCCUCCUCCCUGGGAGAGGAGUGAAGGGCAGUUGUGUCUUCUGGAGCCUCUGCUUUAGAAAGACAAGGGAAAUUCGCAAUUUCUUUGUGCCUCUUCUUUAGCUCAGAAGUUGACACUUCAAAUAAUCUUUAUACUAACUCUGGAGGGAGGUCUCCAUAUAGCCUCAGAAUUGACCUCAGUGUCUUCCUUCUCACUGUUCCUCUCAGUUGUACGGAAACUCAGAAUUUCCAGAAUUUCAUUUGCUUUCUGUGUCUGCUGUUCUGACUCUGUUUUUCAUUUCUUUCCAAUUUCCGUAUCCCCUUUGCUGUGCUCUCAGGAGCUCUUUGCUGUUCACUUCCACAGGCUACUGGCUCUUUCCAAAGGAACCUGUCUCCCCAGCAACCCUCUCCAGGGGUGGUGCGUUUCACACCUUCAUACUCAUUAACCUGCUUUUACCAGCAAUUUUUGUCUUCCUCAGCCUCUCAGCUCAUGUCUUCAUACUAUGCCACUUUUGCUUCUUUGUCCUAUACAUAGCCUUUAAGUCUAGGCGUCUGGGUCUCCAUUAUUCUGUAUUUAUCUGUGUGCCUUUCAGGACUCUUGCUGGUUCAGGUAAGCCGUUCCGUGAGGCCCCUGACUCCUAGACCUCCUCUCCUCCAAUGACCCUGUUCACCUGUCAAUCUCACCCAUCUCAUGCCAUGAACAGAACCCCUAGAACCUCAGUUGCUAACAUUUGUGAUCCCUCCAUAAUCUCAAUUCCAAGCUCCCUACUUUCUCAUCACUACCACUGAACGCCCCACAGUUCUCUCCUUAGUUGUCUAGAUGUAUUAUCUACCCCCAUGACACCUGUAGCCCAUUAUUUUUAGCACCUUUUAAAACUAUUCCCCACAGUCUCCCUUCCCCUAUUUGCCAUUCUAUGUCUAAAUUCCAUGGUCUAAUAUUAUAAUUGCCCUCUUGCAGACAUUAUCCACUCACUUGCUCUUAUUUUUACUUUAUUGUUGCCUGGCAAAACUCCAACUCUCCUUUCUCCACACCUGCCCUUGCAGUGCUGAACAUGGCUUGAGGAAAACCUGCAAAAGUAACUGGUCUCAUUUGAAUUCAUAUUCAGUAACCUACAUGGACAUUUAGUGCCUCUACAGUCUUGAUGCAUUUUCCGCGUGCUUUUAUUUACUCCCUCCCCGCAAACCAAUGGUCGUCAAACAUUCUUUUCAUUUAACCCAUAAAAGAAUUUAAAAAAAAUAAGUAAACCACCCUUAUUUAUCUUUUAAGUUUAUCUCCAAUAUUUUUACCAUAAUUUAAAUUGUUAUUAAGGUUGUUAUACUUGUGAAUUGUAUGCCACUAUUUAAAAGGUAUCCAGUAGAAUCUAAAUAUCACAGGUAGUAUCCACCAUUUCCCAUGUAAAAAUACAAACAAGCUAUCUAUUUUUGUAGCCCUUGAAAGUGUUCACUACUUGGGGCUGGCGCAGUGAAGAAGCGGUUUAAAGCCUUGUCCUGAAGCGCAGGCAUCCCAUAUGGGCACCAGUUCUAGUCCCGGCUUCUCCUCUUCUGAUCCAGCUCUCUGCUAUGGCCUGGGAAAGCAGUAGAGGAUGGCCCAAGUCCUUGGGCCCCUGCACCCACAUGGGAGACCUGGAAGAAGCUCUUGGCUCCUGGCUUCGGAUUGGCGCAGCUCCGGCUAUUGCGGCCAUCUGGGGAGUGAACUAGCAGAUGGAAGAUCUCUCUCUCUGUCUCUACCUUUCUCUCUAACUCUGUCUUUUAAAUAAAUAAAAUAAAUCUUUAACAAAAAAAGAUGCUCAUUACUCAUGUUUCUUCUUGACUCCAUUUUCAUUGAAUUCACCCACAGAAUUUAACUUUAUUUUAAUGUAAUUUUUUGCAGUAGAUAGCCUUUCAUUUAUGACCCUAUGAUACUUAUCUGCAAUGCAACUGUAUAUAAGUUGAAAUAUAAAACUUCUUUUUUGAGGGCAAGUAUUUGGCAGAGCAGUUAAGAUGCUCGUGUCCCUCAUUGGAGUACCUUGGUUUCAUUCCUAGUUUCUGCUCCUGAUUUCAGCUUCCUGCAGACACUGAGAGGCAGUGGUGAUGGCUCAGGUAAUAGGGUUUCUGCCAUGUACAUGGGAGAUCUGGACUGAGUUCUCAGCUCUUGGCUUCUGCCUAACCCAGCCCUGGGCUUGGUGGGUUUUGAGGGGAGUGAAAGAAAAGAUAGGAGCAUGAUUUCUCUCUCUCCCUCUACCCUCCUCUUCCUCCUUAUCUUCCUCCUCUUCCCCUUCUCUCUCUCCCCCUUUCCCUCUCUCUCUUCCUCCUUCCUUCCUUCCUUCCUUCCUUCCUUCCUUCCU